rnacentral:rRNA from 1 species
GACGAAGGAUGCAAGCGUUAUCCGGAUUCAUUGGGUUUAAAGGGAGCGUAGGUGGCCUGCUAAGUCAGUGGUGAAAUCUCUGGGCUUAACCCAGAAAUUGCCAUUGAUACUGGUGGGCUUGAGUGCAGUUGCUGUUGGCGGAAUAUGACAUGUAGUGGUGAAAUACAUAGAGAUGUCAUAGAACACCGAUUGCGAAGGCAGCUAACAAAAACUGUAACUGACACUGAGGCUCGAAAGUGUGGGGAUCAAACAGG